UCAGCUUUCAGCCCUGAUGGCGUGUCUUUGUACGUGCCAUCGGGUGAGAAAGACGAC
ensembl:miRNA oni-mir-10547d-1 oni-mir-10547d-1